rnacentral:rRNA from 1 species
AUCCAGCGAACUUGGCAGAGAUGGCCUUGGUGCCUUCGGGAACGCUGAGACAGGUGCUGCAUGGCUGUCGUCAGCUCGUGUUGUGAAAUGUUGGGUUAAGUCCCGNAACGAGCGCAACCCUUAUCCUUUGUUGCCAGCGAUUCGGUCGGGAACUCAAAGGAGACUGCCGGUGAUAAACCGGAGGAAGGUGGGGAUGACGUCAAGUCAUCAUGGCCCUUACGAGUAGGGCUACACACGUGCUACAAUGGCGCAUACAAAGAGAAGCGACCUCGCGAGAGCAAGCGGACCUCAUAAAGUGCGUCGUAGUCCGGAUCGGAGUCUGCAACUCGACUCCGUGAAGUCGGAAUCGCUAGUAAUCGUGGAUCAGAAUGCCACGGUGAAUACGUUCCCGGGCCUUGUACACACCGCCCGUCACACCAUGGGAGUGGGUUGCAAAAGAAGUAGGUAGCUUAACCUUCGGGAGGGCGCUUACCACUUUGUGAUUCAUGACUGGGGUGAAGUCGUAACAAGGUAAGCGUAGCGAG